rnacentral:lncRNA from 1 species
GGCUGAAGGAGCUGGGAUUGUUCAGUCUGGAGAAGAGGAGGCUCAGGGGAGACCUUAUUGCUCUCUAUAACUACCUGAAGGGAGGUUGUGGUGAGCUGGGGGUCAGCCUCUUCUCCCGGGUGACUAGUGAUAGGACUAGAGGGAAUGGCUUCAAGCUGCGUCAGGGAAGGUUCAGGCUGGACGUUAGGAAAUACUACUUCUCUGAAAGGGUGGUCAGGCACUGGAAUG